GUGGCUAACAACUUUGAUGGCUUUUUGAAAAGAUGAAACAAAUCUGGCGGUCGUGGAUCCUGUCCGAUGCCCUGCUGGUGGCUAGGGCCAUGGCACGACCCCUGGUGACGUCAUGGGGGAGCUUCCAGUUGUAUUUGCAUCAACAAGCUCCUCCCAUUGGCUGUUAACCCUGAUAUGACUCCUGGCUGUGUGGGGUGGAGUCUUGUGUUGCUGUUUCAUCCAAUGCCUAAGCCAAUACUACUCACAUGCUGUAACCAAUAAAACUUGUGGCCUAAUUUUGCCCAUUAACCUAAAAUAAUGUGUCUGUGUGUCUUAUUAUAAUCUUAUGCAGGUGGAGGGUCCUCAACUCACAAAAGGUCCAGCAAACCCAGAGGUAGAAAGCACAGAGGAUGCCUGCGUAGGAACAAAGAGAGUUUAAGAACUGAAAACUAUUGACAUUGCAACACCAUUAUACAAAUCUAUGGUGUGACAGUUCUGGUCACUUUCCCUUUGAAAGGAUAUUGUAGAGUUGGAAACGGUUCAGGAAAGGGGAUGGAGAGACUCCCCCUAAGAGGAAAGGUUGAGGUGUUUGGGACGUUUUCCUUUAGAGGAAAAGGUGAGUAAGAAACAACAUGAUAAAAGUUCAUAAUUCUAUGUAUGGCCUGCAGAAAGCAGGCAGAGAAAGGUUCUUGUCCUUCUCUCAUAAUGCUGGUGAUCGUGAACAUACAAUAAAAUUCAUGGAGGCUGUCAAUGGCUCCUAGCCAUGAUGGCUGUUCUCUGCCUCUAUGGUCAGAGACUGCAAUGCUUCUGAAUAACACUUGCUGGAAAUUGCAGGAGGGCAGAGUGCUCUUUUGUUUAGGUCCUGCUUUCCCACUAGUAUCUGGGUGGCCACUGAGAGAACAGGAUGUUCUUCUUAUGUUCUAAGGACCUCAGAGGUGCACUGGAAAUGUUCUGUUUAGCCCAAUGCAUUUUGAGGCUCAUGACUCUGAAAGGAAAUUAAAUGCAACCCGCUUAACAACUCCAAAACUCCUAACUUUAAAAAGCCACAUGCACCAUGAGAAAUGAACAUCAAAAACUAAAGUGCAACAUACAGUGGUACCUCGGGUUAAGUACUUAAUUCAUUCCGGAGGUCCGUACUUAACCUGAAACUGUUCUUAACCUGAAGCACCACUUUAGCUAAUGGGGCCUCCUGCUGCCACCGCACGCCGGAGCACGAUUUCUGUUCUCAUCCUGAAGCAAAGUUCUUAACCUGAAGCACUAUUUCUGGCUUAGCGGAGUCUGUAACCUGAAGCGUAUGUAACCUGAAGCGUAUGUAACCUGAGGUACCACUGUAAAAAUUUUAUAUAUACAGUGGUACCUCGGGUUAAGAACUUAAUUUGUUCUGGAGGUCUGUUCUUAACCUGAAAUUGCUGUUAACCUGAGGUACCACUUUAGCUAAUGGGGCCUCCCGCCGCCGCCAUGCGAUUUCUGUUCUCAUCCUGAAGCAAAGUUCUUAACCUGAGGUACUAUUUCUGGGUUAGCGGAGUCUGUAGCCUGAAGCGUCUGUAACCUGAGAUACCACUGUAUAUAAAAAAGGAAUGGCUGUGUUAUGUAUGGCUGUCAGGAAAGUUUCUGAAAGGCAAGGUCAAACCCGGCUGUCUUCAAACGGGGACUUCCCCGAAAUGAGAUCAAGCCCAUUUUCAGCCUGGAGGGCUUUGUGAUGCACAUAAAGGGAACUUGAAGCAGCCAAGUCCUCAUUUACAUUGUGCUGACAUCAGCAGCAGGUUACCCUGAACACACCUAGGCAACCACCCAUUGUUGAGUAAGAAAGGAAAGGUGCCAUGGUCCCAAUUCUGCACUGCCUGAUAAGAGGCACAGCAUCAAAGGAAGGGGGUGGGAACAUCACCCACUCCUUCUCCUUAGUAGCAUUCGUUGCUGAAAGAAUCAAAGAAGGGCUAUCCCUCUUCUGACCUCUUAGCCGAGCCAACCUCUUCCAGGGUGAGUUCAGGAGUCUCCUUCACUGGCACAGUUAAUCAUAUUUGACAUUUUGAUUUCCAGGUGAUGACAGAACCGCAACACAAGCUCAGCUGCUUCAGAGGAUGAGCUGGCUUCCAGAUCAGGUAUUAAUUAGGUUCCCCCUGUGCACACACAUCAUUUUUAAAUUAAUGCUGCCGGGAUCUAGUCCCAUUCCAUGCCUAGCCCCAGUUGAGAAACAUGAUGUUCAGUGGGGCACUGUGUGCCAGGCGUUGUGGGUCAAAAUCAGUAGUGGAGGAAGUAAUAAUAAUAAUAAUAAUAAUAAU